GACUGACUUUACACUACGCAGAGAAUACCGCAGCUGAAUAUGGGAUCACCAGAUCCCUGGAUAACGGAUCGCAUUGCCGGAAGGAUCCAUUUCACUUAAAGAUACUGGAGACUGAUCAGUCCUUUGGGACAUAAAUCUGAUCCGAUGAAGUCUAUAAGAUUGACACUGUGGGGCAUGUUUUACGUCAUUAUCCACAAUUUAUUACUUUUCUUUAUUGGAUAUCUGGAUAUCAUAUUUAAGAAAUUUUGCACAUAUCAUGAACCGCAUCAAACAUGGUUGACCAUUUAUGAUUUGUUUUUUUUAAUGAUUUUUUUAAAUCUCUCUAAACUUCAAAGAAUUUUGCUGUUUUGUGUACAACAUGCGCAUCUUUCACCUCUGAAGCAAUUUUAUUUGACUUGAAUUCUCAUCCUUCUGUCUCGCAUCAGAGAACAGACAAUGUUCAAAAGCGUUAACAUGAGAACAGAUGAUGAAAUAAUAAGACCUCUGUGCUUUGUACCUACAUGGUUAUUUGUGGUGUGAACAAGCAGAUGGUUAUUUUUAUCACAGGGUAUCUUUUAUCCAAUAUACCAUUGUGCUACUGCAUUUAAAUAUGGGAAAUAAAACUAUUUAUUAUUAUAUAAUGUAGUAUUUUUGAGGAGCAUUUGGUAAAAUGUACAUGUGUCAAAGGAUUAACCAUCAUUAAGUAUAUGUAUAUCAUUUGUCCUAUCUGCUUACUUUAGCUUGCGGGACAACAAAAUAUUUGGUCUGAACUA